rnacentral:rRNA from 1 species
UGGGGAAUAUUGCACAAUGGGGGAAACCCUGAUGCAGCGACGCCGCGUGAGCGAAGAAGGUUUUCGAAUCGUAAAGCUCUGUCCUAUGAGAAGAUAAUGACGGUAUCAUAGGAGGAAGCCCCGGCUAAAUACGUGCCAGCAGCCGCGGUAAUACGUAUGGGGCGAGCGUUGUCCGGAAUUAUUGGGCGUAAAGGGUACGUAGGCGGUCUAUUAAGUCAGGUGUGAAAGCGUGAGGCUUAACCUCAUUAAGCACUUGAAACUGAUAGACUUGAGUGAAGGAGAGGAAAGUGGAAUUCCUAGUGUAGCGGUGAAAUGCGUAGAUAUUAGGAGGAAUACCGGUGGCGAAGGCGACUUUCUGGACUUUUACUGACGCUCAGGUACGAAAGCGUGGGGGGCAAACAGG